ACAGCAGCCGCCGCGGUAAUACGAAGGGUGCAAGCGUUAAUCGGAAUUACUGGGCGUAAAGCGUGCGUAGGCGGCUUGUUAAGUCUGCUGUGAAAUCCCCGGGCUCAACCUGGGAACUGCAUCCAAAACUGGCAGGCUAGAGUAGGGCAGAGGGUGGUGGAAUUUCCUGUGUAGCGGUGAAAUGCGUAGAUAUAGGAAGGAACACCAGUGGCGAAGGCGACCACCUGGGCUCAUACUGACACUGAGGUGCGAAAGCGUGGGGAGCAAACAGGAUUAGAUACCCCCGUAGUCCCUGUCUCUUAUAC
rnacentral:rRNA from 1 species